GGCCCCAUCGUCUAGUGGCCUAGGACAUCGCCCUCUCACGGCGAAAACCGGGGUUCGAAUCCCCGUGGGGUCA
rnacentral:tRNA from 1 species